rnacentral:rRNA from 1 species
CCUACGGGAGGCAGCAGUGGGGAAUAUUGCACAAUGGGGGAAACCCUGAUGCAGCGACGCCGCGUGAGUGAAGAAGUAUUUCGGUACGUAAAGCUCUAUCAGCAGGGAAGAAAAUGACGGUACCUGACUAAGAAGCCCCGGCUAACUACGUGCCAGCAGCCGCGGUAAUACGUAGGGGGCAAGCGUUAUCCGGAUUUACUGGGUGUAAAGGGAGCGUAGACGGCAGAGCAAGUCUGGAGUGAAAUCCCAUGGCUUAACCAUGGAACUGCUUUGGAAACUGUGCAGCUAGAGUGCAGGAGAGGUAAGCGGAAUUCCUAGUGUAGCGGUGAAAUGCGUAGAUAUUAGGAGGAACACCAGUGGCGAAGGCGGCUUACUGGACUGUAACUGACGUUGAGGCUCGAAAGCGUGGGGAGCAAACAGGAUUAGAUACCCCAGUAGUC